UGGGGAAUAUUGGACAAUGGGCGCAAGCCUGAUCCAGCCAUGCCGCGUGUGUGAAGAAGGCCUUUUGGUUGUAAAGCACUUUAAGCGAGGAGGAGGCUACUUGGAUUAAUACUCUAGGAUAGUGGACGUUACUCGCAGAAUAAGCACCGGCUAACUCUGUGCCAGCAGCCGAGGUAAUACAGAGGGUGCGAUCGUUAAUCGGAUUUACUGGGCGUAAAGCGUGCGUAGGCGGCUUUUUAAGUCGGAUGUGAAAUCCCUGAGCUUAACUUAGGAAUUGCAUUCGAUACAGGGAAGCUAGAGUAUGUGAGAGGAUGGUAGAAUUCCAGGUGUAGCGGUGAAAUGAGUAGAGAUCUGGAGGAAUGCCGAUGGCGAAGGCAGCCAUCUGGCCUAAUACUGACGCUGAGGUACGAAAGCAUGGGGAGCAAACAGG
rnacentral:rRNA from 1 species